rnacentral:rRNA from 1 species
ACGCACGCUGGCGGCGUGCUUAACACAUGCCAGUCGAACGGAAAGGCCCUGCUUGCAGGGUACUCGAGUGGCGAACGGGUGAGUAACACGUGGGUGAUCUGCCCUGCACUUCGGGAUAAGCUUGGGAAACUGGGUCUAAUACCGGAUAGGAGCCAUCUUUAGUGUGGUGGUUGGAAAGUUUUUUCGGUGUAGGAUGAGCUCGCGGCCUAUCAGCUUGUUGGUGGGGUAAUGGCCUACCAAGGCGGCGACGGGUAGCCGGCCUGAGAGGGUGUACGGCCACAUUGGGACUGAGAUACGGCCCAGACUCCUACGGGAGGCAGCAGUGGGGAAUAUUGCACAAUGGGCGCAAGCCUGAUGCAGCGACGCCGCGUGGGGGAUGAAGGCCUUCGGGUUGUAAACUCCUUUCGCUAGGGACGAAGCUUUUUUGUGACGGUACCUAGAUAAGAAGCACCGGCUAACUACGUG